AAAAAAACAAACCAUGUUUCCGUGUCUAACGUUUAACCGUCCGUCUUAUUUAAAAAAAUUAAAAAGACAAGUCACGCAUAAAAUAUUAAUCAUGUUUUAUCAUCUAACAACAAUGAAAAUACGAAUUAUAAAAAAAUUUCAUAUAAGACGGACAGUUAAAGUUGGACACGAAAAUCCAGGGUUUGGUUUUUU
rnacentral:pre_miRNA from 1 species